rnacentral:tRNA from 2 species
GCCGGGGUGGUGAAACUGGUAGACGCACGGGACUCAAAAUCCCGCGGAGCUUCGCUCCAUGAGGGUUCGAUUCCCUCCCCCGGCA